rnacentral:misc_RNA from 1 species
GAUCCCAGCAAAGAUAGCAGUAUAUAUAAACACCACGACCAAACAAAAUGACAAACAGAUCAAAAAUCCAAAUUUAAGCAAGUCUCCAUUAUAUAUAACCAACCAAGUGCUCAAUGACAGCUUAUAUCAGUAAAAACAUAGAACAAAGAAAUACAAUGAUAGAGCAGUUGAUGAUUACAAACUUCUCCUCGGUAAACAGCAAGCAUGAUAACUUGUUAACGGCCACAACUAUGUAAGGAUGACAGUAAUACACAAUUAUGCCUAGAGACUCUGUUCUAUAAGAUAGUCACCCAACCUUUCAACAAUCAUAUUGCACUGUCCAGGAGUCAUCGGCUCAUCAUAUAUUCCAAUGAUCAAAGCCUGAUUGGUCUUCUUAAUGGUGAUACCACCUGGACCCUUCUUCCCUCGGAUCACAGCUUCUGGCUCUCCUUGAAUCACCAUGUAUUUUGUUCCCCCAAGAUACAAACCAGUUGGAGCAAGUGUUCCAGGUACCGCGAAGUCAUUCAUGAUGCCUGUUAUUUCUUCGGGCUUGAACUGAGGAAAAUUGGCAGAUUGAGCCCAAACAGUUCCAUCUUGGCCAAUAAUAGCCGCAGAAGUGAGAUGAUUACCUUCAUUCUCACAAAGCAAGUGUUCAUCAACAUAUGUUUGCCAAGACAUCUUUGAUUCAACCCUAGUUUCUUCUUCUUCUUCAGAGUAGCUCUCAAUUCAAGAUCUAUCGUUCAGUGAAAUUGGUUGAUAAUGGCUUUUUGUACAAGUUGCGUUGAUGUUAAGCUCAUUAAUUUUUUCUUUUUUUUU